UCGGGUAGUGUUUGCUUGCUGCCUGUUAAGUCUGAACAUCUCAACUUGGAAUAAAAACAACACUCUUUGAUUAAUAAAAACAACCUGAAACAGUUCCCUUCAGCCAGCUUACUCUGUGUUAUGUUAAAACGUAAUGUAACAAACACGGCCUGGUGCCCUCCCCAGAACCCAAACCUUCCAUGACUAAAAAUAGCCCUUGGUCUUUCCCUGCAGCUCAAAAACAGGAACAGUAUAACUUGUUUGCCUCAUUAUGUGUUCUGCACAGGGAUCAGUCCCCUCUCACAUCCUGGCCCUCAUACAACGUGAGCACAUUCUAAUCUGCUGAUUACAAAUCCAACAGGUCCAACAAUAGGAAGUGAAUUCUACACAAACAUGGCUUCCCUGGGUCCUUAAACAAUGCACUGCUCACCCUGGAUUCCCAGCAGACCGCUGACAAGCAGGAAGGUCCGAGGACAACACAGUGAGCAGUGAUGAGGUCUAGUACCAUAGAGCCCAGGGGAUGGCAAGAAGUCUGCCCAGGAGAGUGUAAAACCACGCUUUUACUGGAAGGAUUUUCAGAAUGGCAACAUACAUGAGAUGACUGGAGAUUUCAGAAAAGAUACCCAGAAACAGCAAAAUAUGAAACAAAAAGGUCCUCUGAGAUUUGGCACCCUAAGUCAUUUACUUCUGUCCCUCAAAGAGGGCUCCGUUUUCUAGAAGCCACUUCCACACAGAACCUCAACACAGAUGCUCAUCAGAGUUUACAGAGCUGACUUCCAUGAGGAAGUUUUCUGAUCUACACUUGGACAUGAGAUUGUGACCAGGAAGCACUGUGUGGAGCAGAGGAGGCUACAAUGAGUGGUGGAAAGAAAGAGGCAGUGAGGGUCAGUGGAACCUGAGACUCAGUUUUGAGCCUUUCUGAGUGACCUGGGUCAGGUCCCUGAACUCAUUCAUUCAUUCAACAAACAUUUGAAUGUGCUAUGUGCUAGAGCAUUACCAUCAAAGAGAAAUAUAAAGUAAGUCACACGUGUGAUUUAAUUUUUUCUAGAAAUGACUUUUAAAAAGUAAAAUGAAACAGGUGACAUUAAUUUUAAUAUAUUUUAUUAAGCCCAAUAUGUUCAAAAUAUGGCCACUGCACCAUGUAAUCAAUAUAAAAAAUUAUUGGGGCACCUGGGUGGCUCAGUCUGUUAAGCUUCGGACUCUUGAUUUCGGCUCAGGUCAUGAUCUCGUGCUUUGUGAGAUCGAGCCCCAUGUCAGGCUCUGCACACCUGCUUGGGAUUCUCUCUCUCCCUCUCUCUCUGCACCUUCCCUGCUUGUGUUCUCUCUUUUCCUCUCAAAAAAAAAUAUUAAAAAUUGUUUAUGAGAUUUUUUUACGUUCUUUUUUCCAUAUCAAGUCUUCAAAAUCCCAUGUAUGUUUAACAUUUAAUGGCCUGUCUCACUGCAGAUACUAAGUUUUCAUUGGAAAUAGUCAACCUGUAUUUAGAUUUCAUAAACUUUGUAGUUGGAAAAGUAGACUCACAUACCUGAAUUGUUCCAAGCAUGCUUAGAUGUUUCCCAAUAACUGAAUUCAAUUUUAAACUUAAAUUCAUUAAAAUUUAAUAUAAUUAGAAAUUCAGUUGCUCAGUCUCAUUUGUCACAUUUCAAAUGCUUAGUCACUAUAUGUGUGGCUAGUGGCUACUGCAUUGAAAUGCAUAAUUCUAUAGUUUAGGAUGCAGACUUGCUUAAGACGUUGAACUCUGUCCUCUAGAUUUUAAUCCAGUGGGGAAUUUGGGCCAAGAAGCUAAUAAUUACAACGUAAGAAGCCUUGUUAUCUAAAGCAGUUGGGUCUAGAGAUUCAUUUUUAGCCAGUUUAGUUAGAAAGAAUGGUGAAAAGGGUACCUAACUUUAAUGUUUUUUAAACUUAAAACCUAUACAUCCCCAACGGCAAGGAAAUUAAAAGCAAAAAUGAACUAUUGGGACCUCAUGAAGAUAAAAAGCUUCUGCACAGCAAAGGAAACAACCAACAAAACUAAAAGGCAACCAACGGAAUGGGAAGAUAUUUGCAAAUGACAUAUAAGACAAAGGGCUAGUAUCCAAAAUCUAUAAAGAGCUCACCAAACUCCACACCCGAAAAACAAAUAAUCCAGUGAAGAAAUGGGCAGAAAACAUGAAUAGACACUUCUCUAAAGAAGACAUCCGGAUGGCCAACAGGCACAUGAAAAGAUGCUCAACGUCGCUCCUCAUCAGGGAAAUACAAAUCAAAACCACACUCAGAUAUCACCUCACGCCAGUCAGAGUGGCCAAAAUGAACAAAUCAGGAGACUAUAGAUGCUGGCGAGGAUGUGGAGAAACGGGAACCCUCUUGCACUGUUAGUGGGAAUGCAAACUGGUGUAGCUGCUCUGGAAAACAGUGUGGAGGUUCCUCAAAAAAUUAAAAAUAGAUCUACCCUAUGACCCAGCAAUAGCAGUGCUAGGAAUUGACCCAAGGGAUACAGGAGUGCUGAUGCAUAGGGGCACUUGUACCCCAAUGUUUAUAGCAGCACUCUCAACAAUAGCCAAAUUAUGGAAAGAGCCUAAAUGUCCAUCAACUGAUGAAUGGAUAAAGAAAUUGUGGUUUAUAUACACAAUGGAAUACUACGUGGCAAUGAGAAAAAAUGAAAUAUGGCCUUUUGUAGCAACAUGGAUGGAACUGGAGAGUGUUAUGCUAAGUGAAAUAGGUCAUACAGAGAAAGACAGAUACCAUAUGUUUUCACUCUUAUGUGGAUCCUGAGAAACUUAACAGAAGACCAUGGGUGAGGGGAAG